rnacentral:rRNA from 1 species
UUGCCCUAGUAACGGCGAGUGAAGCGGCAAUAGCUCAGAUUUGAAAUCUGGCGUCUUCGGCGUCCGAGUUGUAAUCUGUAGAGGAUGCCUUUGGGUAGCCACCGGUCUAAGUCCCCUGGAACGGGGCGUCACAGAGGGUGAGAAUCCCGUAUGUGACCGGAAGGGCACCCUCCACAAGGCUCCUUCGACGAGUCGAGUUGUUUGGGAAUGCAGCUCUAAAUGGGAGGUAAAUUCCUUCUAAAGCUAAAUACCGGCCAGAGACCGAUAGCGCACAAGUAGAGUGAUCGAAAGAUGAAAAGCACUUUGGAAAGAGAGUUAAAAAGCACGUGAAAUUGUUGAAAGGGAAGCGCUUGCAACCAGACUUGUUGGCGGUGUUCCGCCGGUCUUCUGACCGGUCCACUCACCGUCUGCAGGCCAGCAUCAUCUGGGGCCGCCGGAUAAAAGCGAGGGGAACGUGGCUCCCUCGGGAGUGUUAUAGCCCCUCGUGCAAUACGGCGAGCCUCGGGUGAGGUCCGCGCUUCGGCUAGGAUGCUGGCGUAAUGGUCGUAAGCGGCCCGUCUUGAAACACGGACCAAGGAGUCUAACAUCUAUGCGAGUGUUCGGGUGUCAAACCCCUACGCGUAAUGAAAGUGAACGGAGGUGGGAGCCUUAGGGUGCACCAUCGACCGAUCCUGAUGUCUUCGGAUGGAUUUGAGUAAGAGCAUAGCUGUUGGGACCCGAAAGAUGGUGAACUAUGCCUGGAUAGGGUGAAGCCAGAGGAAACUCUGGUGGAGGCUCGCAGCGGUUCUGACGUGCAAAUCGAUCGUCAAAUUUGGGUAUAGGGGGCGAAAGACUAAU